rnacentral:lncRNA from 1 species
CAACAUAUUAAAUUUUUUGUUUGAAAUAACAUAUUCUGUAAACUUUAUGGAUGGCAUCACGUAACUAUGAGAAAGAAGAGUAAUACAGUUGUAAUCAAAAUUAUUCAACCCCCAUUGAAAAUCAGGUUUAUUGUCAAAAUUUACAGACAUUCAACUGGUUGCAAUUUAAAUAGCUGAACACAACAAAUGCUUCAAGUUUUGCAAUCAACAAGAUAUAAGCAGAAAGUGUCUGAGUGGGCAUUUUUGUGUCUGUCACCAAUGAAAUGUAAUAAAAAAAAAAUAAGAAAUUAUCCCAAGGCACACUACGGUUUUGCACAUAAAAAGAGUAUUUAUUCAUGCAUAGAAAAUACAACAAGGCAUCAUUAUAGCAGAGAGAAAGUGCAUAGUAUAGUGCUAAACCAGUAUAUCGUACCAAAACCACAAUGUAAGUAAAGUGCUAAAUGCAAAAACCCAUUAAAAAAGGUAUAUACCAAGAGCAGGAGAAUUGAAACCCCAACAUUUCGGCUGUGAAGCCUUCCUCUAGGGGACCUCUCAUAAACACACCAGACAUACACAUACACUGACACAAACACACACAUACACUAACAGACAUACAUACACACACUAACAGACACACAUACACUAACAAACAUACGUACACACACACACACACACUAAAAGACAUACAUACACACACACACACACUAACAGACACACAUACACACAUAUACACUAACAGACAUACACACAAACACAUACACUAACAGACAUACAUACAAAUUAUUAUUAUUAUAAUUAACAUUUGCCACCCACCCAGUCUCCCUACAUUUUGGGAAAGCUGGCAUGGAUGGGACCCUGGGGUCUAGUGGGGCUGCAGUGAGGCAGGCGGUUGUUCUAAUCAGAAGCGGCGAGGGAGCUGUGUUCUCCCAGCUCUGCUCGCUCACGGGCUGUCUACUGAUGCAGGAGCCGGAAUAUGACCUCAUAUCAGCAAACGGCGUGCGAGGGUGCAGAGCUGGGAGAACUCAGCUCCCUCGCCACGUGUGUCAGGUAGACAGGCACCCGCCAGGGGGUGUCCAUUAGGUGGUCUAUCAGGUGCCCCCCCCCCCCAUGACAGAGGGAAGACGGGGGCAUUUGGGGACGGCAUUUUUUGUUAGUGCCUGCAGGAGCAACAGGAAGGGCGUUCCUGCUGUGAAAAAAGGUGCAGGAACGCCGUUCCCACGCAUUCCUGCAGGACUCGAGCCCUGAUGACAAUGUUUGGUGUGUGCCAGUGUUAAUUUUGUCAACUAACAAUUUAGUCAAAACUAAAACUAAAACAAUUCAAAUUACUAAAAUACGAUUAAACCUAAAAUGGCUUUUCAGUCAAAAGACUAUGACUAAAACUAAAUUAAAAUUUGCAGCCAAAAUUAACACUGCACAGAGGAGUUGUGGAAGGGGCAGAAGAGGCUUGGGAGAGAAACACCUAGAGGGUCUGGGAGGACACAGAGGGGCUGGGGAAAGGGCAAAAGAGAUAAAUAGAGGCUUUAACUAAGGAGAGUUAGUCGACUAAAAUCUACUGAAGAUUUAGUCAACUAAAACAAUUCAGAUUUGUAAAAUACGACUAAAACUAAAAGGGCUUUUCAGUUAAAAAACAAUGACUAAAACCAAAUUUAAAUUUUCUUUCGAAAUUAAGACUGGUGAGCAUACCUUAAGAUGGUAACAUUGUUGGUGUGAGCUCCUUCUUGUUGUAAAGUCAGCAAUCCCAGAAGGAAAUAAUAGAGUGACAAGUAUAACUGAAUGUUAUAGGAGGAUUAUUGCUCACUUCUACCACGGUGUGAAUGCUAGCCAACUCUUGAGGCAGGAGCAAGAGAAGGCAUCUCUUACCACACACUGUCUAUGACAAGAUAUAAGUACAGGUGGAACUCUACUUUGGAGAUGCUAGAGAGACUUUUAGAGCAGAAGUGGACAAUCCAUAAUCUUGGUAUUGUGUCUCCACUGGGUAGAGUGAAGGAUAGCUAGUGGCAGUCCUAAAACCUUUUAGGGAUGCUACUUAAAACCUGAGCCACAACACCAAUCUGGGACAGGUUAUCCCUAUGUUUAUACAUCUAGUGAGCUAGAUGGAUAUCCUCUUUGAAAACCCUCCUUCUGGCUGCAUCAGUGGUGUGGCAAUGUCUGCUACAUCCUGGUCAAGCUGAUAAGGACUAAUUUGUGUAUUUUUUUUUCUUCUUUUCCACUAUUUCCCAAAUCGACUCCAAGGUGGUUCCGCUUGUAUGCAUUUUUGCUUAAUUGCUUUGUAAUUUUGAGGAAUAUGGAGGUGUAGCCAAGUUGUGCCAUUUACAAGUUAUUUGAGUGUCACCUUAUAUUUAACACGCUGGUCAUUGUUUGUGAGUGAGCUGCAUAUAAUUUAUAUUUUUAUAUUUCGUCUCCUUUUACAUAUAUUGGAGAUCUUUAUAAUAUUCCUAUGCAAUAUUUCUCUACGUUGUACAUUCAGUGUGCUUCACGUUUUAAACGGGUGUGAUAUAUUGUUUUUCUUUUAGCACAAAGUAAUAUUAAUUUUCUCUAUUUCAAAAGAUAUAUUUAUAUUUUAUGACAUAAGUCAAAACAAACAGAGCACAAGAAAAAAGCCAAAAGAGAAAAAAAGAAAAUACAAAAUUGCAUGUACACAAAAGGAAACAAAUACAUCCAAUACCAGUUCACACCGUCUCUGAGGAAGGGGGUUGAGCUUAACAAACCU